rnacentral:rRNA from 1 species
UACAGAGGUGCGAGCGUUGUUCGGAAUUAUUGGGCGUAAAGGGCGCGUAGGCGGUGCGGUAAGUCACCUGUGAAAUCUCCUGGCUCAACUGGGAGCUUGCAGGCGAAACUGCCGUGCUGGAGUGUGGGAGAGGUGAGUGGAAUUCCCGGUGUAGCGGUGAAAUGCGUAGAUAUCAGGAGGAACACCGGUGGCGAAGGCGGAUCUCUGGGCCAUUACUGACGCUGGAGGAGCGAAAGCGUGGGGAGCGAACAGG